ensembl:snRNA U6 U6 spliceosomal RNA
AUGCUCACUUCAGCAGCACACAUACUAAAUUGGAAUGAUACAGAGAAGAUUAGCAUAACCCCUGCACAAGGAUGACAUGCAAAUUCGUGAAGCAUUCCAUAUAUCA